rnacentral:rRNA from 1 species
AGUCGUAACAAGGUUUCCGUAGGUGAACCUGCGGAAGGAUCAUUAGUGAAUAUAGGACGUCCAACUUAACUUGGAGUCCGAACUCUCACUUUCUAACCCUGUGCACUUGUUUGGGAUAGUAACUCUCGCAAGAGAGCGAACUCCUAUUCACUUAUAAACACAAAGUCUAUGAAUGUAUUAAAUUUUAUAACAAAAUAAAACUUUCAACAACGGAUCUCUUGGCUCUCGCAUCGAUGAAGAACGCAGCGAAAUGCGAUAAGUAAUGUGAAUUGCAGAAUUCAGUGAAUCAUCGAAUCUUUGAACGCACCUUGCGCUCCAUGGUAUUCCGUGGAGCAUGCCUGUUUGAGUGUCAUGAAUACUUCAACCCUCCUCUUUCUUAAUGAUUGAAGAGGUGUUUGGUUUCUGAGCGCUGCUGGCCUUUACGGUCUAGCUCGUUCGUAAUGCAUUAGCAUCCGCAAUCGAACUUCGGAUUGACUUGGCGUAAUAGACUAUUCGCUGAGGAAUUCUAGUCUUCGGAUUAGAGCCGGGUUGGGUUAAAGGAAGCUUCUAAUCAGAAUGUCUACAUUUUAAGAUUAGAUCUCAAAUCAGGUAGGACUACCCGCUGAACUUAAGCAUAUCAAUAAGUCGU